AUCCCCAAGGAAGAGAAGCAUAAUUGUGAUGAUGCCACAUUAAUGCUGUGUGACAUAGGUGUGUGCUGUACCGAAUGCUCUCUUGUUUUUAGUUCUGGAAUGUCUAGCAAGAGGAAGCAGCUGCCCAACAUACAGCCUGUCAAACUCUUUUCCGUGUUUCAGGAUGGUCACUUCUUAUUUUACCAAACUCUAGGGAAAAUUUUGUUGCCUUUAAAAGCUUGUUCUAAACAAUAUCCUUCAGAUGGGGGAAGUCUUUGAUUGCAGCCCCUGGCUGAAUAAUGCAGGAGGGGAUACAAGGGCCUUACAUGAUGGCAAAGGUGAGGAAGAACUACUGCAGAGUAGAAGUGAACAACAGGGAUUUAUAGAUCAAGCUGAAAUCCCGUUGGGAAUGGAAAAUAAAAAUCCUGAGCAAGUGCCUUCACUUCAGAAAGAAGAGCCCCCUACAGAUGCAGCUAGAUUGGGAGAUUUUAACAAUUCAAACUCUGUCAAGAAAAAUGUAGAAUCAACUGCUGAAGGACAACAAGCUCAAACAUCCUCUCCAACAGAUUCAAUACAACAUCCUACUAAACUGGCUCCUGCAACUAAACUAUGGACCACGUUGCGAGAUGGUGCAGUUCAGCUCCGAAUGGAAGAGACCUGUUGUGGUGCUGAGUCACCCCUAACUAUUGCCCAAAUGUUUAAUCAAUCAGUGGCAAAUCAUGGUAACCGUGUUGCUCUCAGUUUCUUGCUGAGAAAUCAUUGGGAAACACUAACCUAUUCUCAGUAUUACAAAGAAUGUAGAAAAGCAGCAAAAAGCUUUCUUAAGCUUGGUCUCCAACGUUUCCAUGGAGUUGGCAUCCUGGGAUUCAACUCUCCAGAGUGGGUUAUUGCAAAUAUUGGAGCAAUUUUAGCAGGUGGUUUGGCUGUUGGGAUUUAUGCAACAAAUUCUCCAGAAGCAUGCAAGCAUGUGGCACAUCACUGUGAAGCUAAUAUUCUAGUGGUGGAGAACCAUAACCAGCUGCUGAAAAUUCUGCAGAUUGCACAUCUGUUGCCUCACCUCAAAGCAAUUGUUCAGUACAAGUUUGCAGUGGAAGAACACAAACGAAAUAUUUUCACUUGGAAGGAAUUUCUGGAACUUGGGAAGAGUGUUUCUGAUGAAGUGUUGGAUGAAGUUAUAGAGUCUCAGAAUGCCAACCAAUGUUGCACACUAAUCUAUACUUCUGGAACAACAGGAGUUCCUAAAGGAGCGAUGCUUAGCCACGAUAAUUUGACCUGGACGGCUAAGACAGCAGGGAAGGUGGUGGGUCUUCAAGCUAUGGGGAAAGUACAGGAAAGAGUUGUUAGUUUUCUUCCAAUGAGUCAUAUUGCAGCACAGAUGAUGGAUAUCUGGAUUCCAAUGAAGUUUGGAGCUGCAACUUACUUUGCACAGCCAGAUGCGCUCAAGGGUACCUUAUUGUAUACUUUAAGAGAAGUACGUCCCACAGCCUUUUUAGGUGUGCCUCGUGUUUGGGAGAAAAUGGAGGAAAAAAUGAAAGAUGCUGGUGCUGAAUCGUCUGCUUUGAAAAGAAAGAUAAUUAAGUGGGCGAAGGGUAUUGGCCUGCAAACAAGUUAUAAUAUGAUGGAAGGAAGCACAUUGCAGCCCUUUGGAUACACCUUGGCAAAUCAGCUGGUAUUUAAGAAAGUUCGUGUCUUAUUGGGCCUGGACCAAUGUAGCAAGUGCUUUACAGGAGCAGCGCCUAUUACCAAAGAAACACUAGAGUACUUCCUAAGCCUUCGCAUCACAAUUUUUGAGCUUUAUGGGAUGAGUGAGAGUUCAGGUCCACACACCAUCUCUCAUCAAGACUUCUAUCGAAUUACAAGCUGUGGAAAGGAGAUGAUGGGAUGCAAAACUAAGAUAGACAAACCGAGUGAAGAAGGCACUGGAGAAGUAUGCUUUUGGGGAAGACAUGUCUUCAUGGGAUACUUGAAUAUGCCCGAACAGACGAAUGAAGCUCUAGAUGAAAUGGGCUGGUUGCACUCAGGAGACGUGGGAAGAUUUGAUGAAGAUGGAUUUCUUUACAUCACAGGCAGAAUAAAAGAGUUGUUAAUCACAGCUGGUGGAGAGAACAUAGCUCCAGUCCCCAUCGAGGAUGCUGUUAAGGCAAAACUUCCUAUCAUUAGCAAUGCCAUGCUAAUUGGUGAUAAAAGGAAAUUCCUCUCCAUGCUUCUCACUUUGAAGACUUACAUGGAUGAUGAAACAGGAGCCCCACUAGAUCAGCUGGCUCCGGCAGCAGUUGCAUUUUGCCGUAGGUUUGGAUGCCCAGCUAAUACCGUGUCAGAGGUUUUAAGGAUGCGUGAUCCUUCAGUUUACAAAGCCAUUCAGAAUGGAAUUGAUGCUGUCAAUAAAGAUGCCAUAUCUAAGGCUCAGCAAAUUCAAAAGUGGAUCAUUUUGAAAAAAGACUUCUCGAUUGUUGGAGGAGAGCUAGGAUUGGCUGGCAGCCUGGAGCGACCAGAGACAAAGCGAAGAAACAGCACUCUCUCCUCAUUAGAAAACUCUUGCAACGUUUGCCACAGCCAAUUCAGUAGUUGAUGGUUUUCAACAAUGUCACGGUAACGCACAACUUUCUUUAAGAAGUUGGGGCUGUCUUCCAUAAAGACAGAUGAAAGUUAGGAGGAAAUGUGAUAGAGGAGUCCAAAAUCACUGAGGCCUAUAGAUACACCAAAUAAGAAAAACUUCCUACUGGCUGUAAGGUGAAGGACCAGAAGACAUGAAGUUAAGGUGGCAGCUAAAGAACCAAAGACAAAUUGGGAAGUGGACGUCACUGGCUGGCUAGCAGUUCUUGCCUGUUCCUAGUUGUCCUUGAGAAGAUGGUGGUGAGCUGCCUUCUUGAACCGCUGCAGUCCACCUGCUGUGGGUUGACCCACAGUGCCAUUAGGAAGGGAAUUCCAGGAUUGUGACCCAGCAACAACAAACGUACAGCAGUAUAUUUCCCAGUCAUCACGAGGAGUGACUUGGAGGGGAACUUGAAUGUGGUACUAUUUUUAUGUAUCUGCUGCCCUUGUCCUUCUAGAUGAAAGUAGUAAUGGAUCUGGAAAGUGCUGCCUGAGGAUCUCUGGUGAAUUUCUGCUCCUUAUAGAUAUUACACACUGCUGUUACUGAGGGUCGGUAGUGGAGGAAGCGGAUGUUUCUGGAUGUGGUGCCAAUCAAGUGGGCUUUGACCUGGAUGACAUCAAGUUUCUUGAGUGCCAUUGGAGCUAUAUCAUCCAGGCAAGUGGGGAGUACUCCAUGAUGGUCCUGAUUUUGCUUUGUAGAUGAUGGGCAGACUUUGGGAAGUCAGAUGGUGAAUUACUCGCCAUAGUAUUCCUAGCCUCCAACCUGCCCUUGUAGCCACUGUAUUUAUUUUCAAGUCCAUUUGAGUUUCUGGUCAAUGGUAACCCCCAGGGAUGUUGAGGGAUUCAAUGCUGGUAACACAAUUGAAAGUCAAGGGAUGGUAGUUAGAUUGUCUCUUAUUAGGUGAUGAUCAUAGACUAGCAUUUGUGUGGCAUUAAUGUUGUCAGCCCAAGCCUGGAUAACGUCCAGAUCUAGUUGUAUUUGAAUUUGGACUGCUUCAGUAUCUGAAAAGUCAUGAAUGGUUUGAACAUUGUACAAUCAUCAGCAAACAUUCCCAAUUCUGACCUUAUGAUGGAGGGAAGGUCAUUGAUAAAGCAGCUGAAGACAGUUGGGCUGAAAAUGAUCCAUAAUCUAUUUACCUAAAACAAACAGUGAAUGAUGGAGAAACUCAGCAGGUCAAGCAGCUUGUGGAAAGAGACUGUUAAUGUUUUAUGUCCAGCAUGACUUGUUCAGAACUGCUGCAGUAGACUUUUAUGAGUUUUUGCAGCAUUCUCUGUGCAUGUUUGCAGACGACACAAAGGUCGGAGGUGUCGUUGACAGUAUAGAGGGCUGUUGUAGGCUGCAGCGGGACAUUGACAGGAUGCAGAGAUGGGCUGAGAGGUGGCAGAUGGAGUUCAACCUGGAUAAAUGUGAGGUGAUGCAUUUUGGAAGGUCGAAUUUGAAAGCUGAGUACAGGAUUAAGGAUAGGAUUCUUGGCAGUGUGGAGGAACAGAGGGAUCUUGGUGUGCAGAUACAUAGAUCCCUUAAAAUGGCCACCCAAGUGGACAGGGUUGUUAAGAAAGCAUAUGGUGUUUUGGCUUUCAUUAACAGGGGCAUUGAGUUUAAGAGUCGUGAGAUCUUGUUGCAGCUCUGUAAAGCUUUGGUUAGACCGCACUUGGAAUACUGCGUCCAGUCUGGUCGCCGUAUUAUAGGAAAGAUGUGGAUGCUUUGGAGAGGGUUCAGAGGAGGUUUACCAGGAUGCUGCCUGGACUGGAGGGCUUAUCUUAUGAAGAGAGGUUGACUGAGCUUGGUCUCUUUUCAUUGGAGAAAAGGAGGAGGAGAGGGGACCUAAUUGAGGUAUACAAGAUAAUGAGAGGCAUAGAUAGAGUUGAUAGCCAGAGACUAUUUCCCAGGGCAGAAAUGGCUAGCACGAGGGGUCAUAGUUUUAAGCUGGUUGGUGGAAAGUAUAGAGGGGAUGUCAGAGGCGGGUUCUUUACACAGAGUUGAGAGAGCAUGGAAUGCGUUGCCAGCAGCAGUUGUGGAAGCAAGGUCAUUGGGGUCAUUUAAGAGACUGCUGGACAUGCAUAUGGUCACAGAAAUUUGAGGGUGCAUACAUGAGGAUCAAUGGUUGGCACAACAUUGUGGGCUGAAAGGCCUGUUCUGUGCUGUACUGUUCUAUGUUCUAUGUUGUUUCAAGUUUCCAGCAUCCAUUGUACUUUUUUCAUCUAUUUAACUAACUUCAGUCUCUUCACAGAAUACUUCACUCUGGAGGUGCCAAGAAGGAGAAAUGGAGUAAGUUGGCUCUGUGGAGAUGCUCACCCUUUUCUUUCAGUGGCUGAUGGGAAAUAUUCAUCCUGGAGUUCAGUUACUAGUGGUGUACCACAAGGAAGUGCUUUGGGGCCACUGCUGUUUGUCAUUUUUAUAAAUGACCUGGAUGAGGGUGUAGAAGGACGGGUUAGUAAAUUUGCAGAUGACACUAAAGUCGGUGGAAUUCUGGAUAGUGCGAAGGAUGUUGCAGGUUACUGAGGGACACAGAUAAGAUGCAGAGCUGGGCUGAGAGGUGGCAAAUGGAGUUUAAUGCGGAAAAGUGUGAGGUGAUUCACUUUGGAAGGGGUAACAGGAAUACAGAGUACUGGGCUAAUGGUAAGAUUCUUGUUAGUGUUGAUGAGCAGACAGAUCUUGGUGCCCAUGUGCAUAGAUCCCUGAAAGUUGCCACCCAGGUUGAUAGGGUUGUUAGGAAGGCAUACGAUGUGUUAUGUUUUAUUGGUAGAGAGAUUGAGUUUUGGAGCCAUGAGGUCAUGUUGCAGCUGUACAAAACUCUGGUGCAGCUGCACUUGGAGGAUUGUGUGCCUUUCUGGUCGCCACAUUAUAGGAAGGAUGUGGAAGCAUUGGAAAGGGCGCAGAGGAGAUUUACCUGGUAUGGAGGGAAGGUCUUAUGAGGAAAGGCUGAGGGACUUGACGCUGUUUUCAUUAGGGAGAAGAAGGUUGAGAGGUGACUUAAUAUAGAUAUACAAGAUGAUCUGAGGAUUAGAUAGGGCGGACAGUGAAAGCCUUUGUCCUCAGUUGGUGAUGGCUAGCACGAGGGGACAUAGCUUCAAAUUGAGGGGUGAUAGAUAUAGGACAGAUGUCUGAGGUAGGUUCUUUACUCAGGAGUAGUGAGGGCGU